rnacentral:tRNA from 1 species
GCGCAAGUGGUGAAAUUGGUAUACACGCUACUUUGAGGGGGUAGUGGACAUUAGUCCGUGUGAGUUCGAGUCUCAUCUUGCGCAC